GGAUAUAGCUCAGUGGUAGAGCGAAUGCUUAGCAUGCAUGAGGUCCAGGUUCAAUCCCCAGUUCCUCCA
rfam:Camelus ferus unplaced genomic scaffold scaffold228, whole genome shotgun sequence.